rnacentral:lncRNA from 1 species
ACGAAUCCACCACGGUCGUCACACGGCAUGCAUGACCGUUACGCUUAGCUGACCAUUGCAGACGACCGUUACAUGCCCGUUGUGCGUAACGACCGUCACACCCCUGUGACGACCGUCACGAAAACCAAAGAGCACGCCUAUAAAUAUAGGCACUCUUCCUCUCUUCUUCCUCAUCAAUCAUCCUACUCACAUCACUCUUCUCUCCAUUAUUCAAUUCUUU